GACGAACGCUGGCGGCGUGCUUAACACAUGCAAGUCGAACGGAAAGGCCCUGCUUGCAGGGUACUCGAGUGGCGAACGGGUGAGUAACACGUGGGUGAUCUGCCCUGCACUUCGGGAUAAGCCUGGGAGACUGGGUCUAAUACCGGAGAGGAGCCAUUUUUAGUGUGAUGGUUGGAAAGUUUUUUCGGUGUAGGAUGAGCUCGCGGCCUAUCAGCUUGUUGGUGGGGUAAUGGCCUACCAAGGCGGCGACGGGUAGCCGGCCUGAGAGGGUGGACGGCCACAUUGGGACUGAGAUACGGCCCAGACUCCUACGGGAGGCAGCAGUGGGGAAUAUUGCACAAUGGGCGCAAGCCUGAUGCAGCGACGCCGCGUGGGGGAUGACGGCCUUCGGGUUGUAAACUCCUUUCGCUAGGGACGAAGCUUUUUGUGACGGUACCUAGAUAAGAAGCACCGGCUAACUACGUG
rnacentral:rRNA from 1 species